AUUGAACGCUGGCGGCAUGCUUUACACAUGCAAGUCGAACGGCAGCGCGGGCUUCGGCCUGGCGGCGAGUGGAGAACGGGUGAGUAAUGCAUCGGAACGUGCCCAGUAGUGGGGGAUAGCCCGGCGAAAGCCGGAUUAAUACCGCAUACGACCUGAGGGUGAAAGCGGGGGACCGAAAGGACCCGCGCCAUUGGCGCGGCCCAUGUCGGAUUACAUAGUUGGUGGAGUAAAGGCUUACCAAGGCGACGAUCCGUAGCUGGUCUGAGAGGACGACCAGCCACACUGGGACUGAGACACGGCCCAGCCUCCUACGGUAGGCAGCAUUGGGGAAUUUUGGACAAUGGGGGCAACCCUGAUCCAGCCAUGCCGCGUGCGGGAAGAAGGCCUUCGGGUUGUAAACCGCUUUUGUUCGGGAAGAAAUCCUCUGGGCUAAUACCCCGGGGGGAUGACGGUACCGGAAGAAUAAGCACCGGCUAACUACGUG
rnacentral:rRNA from 1 species